rnacentral:rRNA from 1 species
GAUCGAACGGCGUGGCGGCGUGCCUAACACAUGCAAGUCGAGCGGAGAAAGUCCCGAAAAGGAUUCUUCGGAAGAUUUAAGGGAUGGAUAGCGGCGGACGGGUGAGUAACGCGUGGGCAACCUGCCCCUCACUGAGGGAUAGCCGAGGGAAACUUCGAGUAAUACCUCAUAACGCAUAACCGUUGCAUAGCGGAUAUGCCAAAGAUUUAUCGGUGAGGGAUGGGGCCCGCGUCUGAUUAGCCAGUUGGUGAGGUAGCGGCUCACCAAAGCGACGAUCAGUAGCCGGCCUGAGAGGGCGGACGGCCACAUUGGAACUGAGACACGGUCCAG